rnacentral:rRNA from 1 species
AGCGAACCUGCAAAGGCAAGCGAAUCUCAAAAAGACCGGUCUCAGUUCGGAUUGUGGGCUGCAACCCGCCCACAUGAAGUCGGAGUUGCUAGUAAUCGCGAAUCAGCAUGUCGCGGUGAAUGCGUUCCCGGGCCUUGUACACACCGCCCGUCACACCACGGAAGUUGGGGGCGCCCGAAGCCGAUGACCUAACCGCAAGGAGGGAGUCGUCGAAGGUGAAACCAAUGACUGGGGUGAAGUCGUAACAAGGUACC